CGUAGCUCAGUUGGUAGAGCAAUUGACUCUUAAUCAAUGGGUCCAGGGUUCGAGUCCCUGC
rnacentral:tRNA from 1 species